rnacentral:rRNA from 1 species
CCUACGGGCGGCAGCAGUGGGGAAUAUUGCACAAUGGGGGAAACCCUGAUGCAGCGACGCCGCGUGAGUGAAGAAGUAAUUCGUUAUGUAAAGCUCUAUCAGCAGGGAAGAAAAUGACGGUACCUGAGUAAGAAGCCCCGGCUAACUACGUGCCAGCAGCCGCGGUAAUACGUAGGGGGCAAGCGUUAUCCGGAUUUACUGGGUGUAAAGGGAGCGUAGGCGGCAGUGCAAGUCAGAAGUGAAAGCCCAAGGCUCAACCAUGGGACUGCUUUUGAAACUGUACAGCUAGAUUGCUGGAGAGGCAAGUGGAAUUCCUGGUGUAGCGGUGAAAUGCGUAGAUAUUAGGAGGAACACCAGUGGCGAAGGCGGCUUACUGGACUGUAAAUGACGCUGAGGCUCGAAAGCGUGGGGAGCAAACAGGAUUAGAUACCCUAGUAGUC